rnacentral:rRNA from 1 species
AACGCUAGCUACAGGCUUAACACAUGCAAGUCGAGGGGCAGCAUAAAAGUAGCAAUACUUUGGUGGCGACCGGCGCACGGGUGAGUAACGCGUAUGCAACCUACCUAUCAGAGGGGGAUAACCCGGCGAAAGUCGGACUAAUACCGCAUAAAACAGGGGCACCGCAUGGUGAUAUUUGUUAAAAAUUUAUUGCUGAUAGAUGGGCAUGCGUUCCAUUAGGUAGUUGGAGAGGUAACGGCUCACCAAGCCCACGAUGGAUAGGGGAACUGAGAGGUUGGUCCCCCACACUGGUACUGAGACACGGACCAGACUCCUACGGGAGGCAGCAGUGAGGAAUAUUGGUCAAUGGGCGAGAGCCUGAACCAGCCAAGUCGCGUGAAGGAAGAAGGAUCUAUGGUUCGUAAACUUCUUUUGCAGGGGAAUAAAGUGCGGGACGUGUCCUGUUUUGUAUGUACCCUGAGAAUAAGGAUCGGCUAACUCCGUGCCAGCAGCCGCGGUAAUACGGAGGAUCCGAGCGUUAUCCGGAUUUAUUGGGUUUAAAGGGAGCGUAGAUGGAUGUUUAAGUCAGUUGUGAAAGUUUGCGGCUCAACCGUAAAAUUGCAGUUGAUACUGGAUAUCUUGAGUGCAGUUGAGGCAGGCGGAAUUCGUGGUGUAGCGGUGAAAUGCUUAGAUAUCACGAAGAACUCCGAUUG